rnacentral:rRNA from 1 species
UGGGGAAUUUUGGACAAUGGGCGAAAGCCUGAUCCAGCAAUGCCGCGUGUGUGAAGAAGGCCUUCGGGUUGUAAAGCACUUUUGUCCGGAAAGAAAUCCUUGGCUCUAAUGCAGUCGGGGGAUGACGGUACCGGAAGAAUAAGCACCGGCUAACUACGUGCCAGCAGCCGCGGUAAUACGUAGGGUGCAAGCGUUAAUCGGAAUUACUGGGCGUAAAGCGUGCGCAGGCGGUUUGCUAAGACCGAUGUGAAAUCCCCGGGCUCAACCUGGGAACUGCAUUGGUGACUGGCAGGCUAGAGUAUGGCAGAGGGGGGUAGAAUUCCACGUGUAGCAGUGAAAUGCGUAGAGAUGUGGAGGAAUACCGAUGGCGAAGGCAGCCCCCUGGGCCAAUACUGACGCUCAUGCACGAAAGCGUGGGGAGCAAACAGGAUUAGAUACCCUGGUAGUCCAGCGCCCUAAACGAUGUCAACUAGUUGUUGGGGAUUCAUUUCCUUAGUAACGUAGCUAACGCGUGAAGUUGACCGCCUGGGGAGUACGGUCGCAAGAUUAAAACUCAAAGGAAUUGAC